GGAUCAACGCUGGCGGCGUGCCUAACACAUGCAAGUCGAACGAGAAAGGGGAGCAAUCCCUGAGUAAAGUGGCGACCGGGUGAGUAACACGUGACCAAUCUACCCUUGAGUGGGGGAUAACCUCGGGAAACCGGGGCUAAUACCGCAUAACAUCUCUGGAUCGGAAGAACUGGAGAUCAAAGGAGCAAUUCGCUUAAGGAGGAGGUCGCGGCUGAUUAGCUAGUUGGCGGGGUAAUGGCCCACCAAGGCUUAGAUCGGUAGCCGGCCUGAGAGGGCGCACGGCCACACUGGAACUGAAACACGGUCCAGACUCUACGGGAGGCAGCAGUGGGGAAUUUUGCGCAAUGGGGGAAACCUACGAGCAGCAACGCCGCGUGAGGAU
rnacentral:rRNA from 1 species